AUGUCUAUCUUCAUUUUUGUAAACAUAAGAAACUUGUUGAUUUUCUCUUUAAAUAAUUAACUAUGCUCAGUACAAAUGAACUAAAUAUGUGUCGAAUUUGCUUAGGGAACAAUUGUUCUAAAGAUGCCGCAACAUUGCGAUAUGACGAGCGGUAUAGCUACGCUGAAGUUAUCAUGUUUUGCUUGAAGGUCCAAAUCUGUACAGAUUCCAAAAUCACAACACAACUUUGCAUGAAAUGUUAU